UACGUAGGGGGCAAGCGUUGUCCGGAAUCAUUGGGCGUAAAGCGCGUGUAGGCGGCUCGGUAAGUCCGCUCUGAAAGUCCAGGGCUCAACCCUGGGAUGCGGGUGGAUACUGCCGGGCUCGAGUCCGGAAGAGGCGAGUGGAAUUCCCGGUGUAGCGGUGAAAUGCGCAGAUAUCGGGAGGAACACCAAUGGCGAAGGCAGCUCGCUGGGACGUGACUGACGCUGAGGCGCGAAGGCGUGGGGAGCGAACGGG
rnacentral:rRNA from 1 species